AAGAAAGUACUUAAAACUUCGUUGUGGAGUCUGUGGUAUGAAUGCCAUUCUGAGGCUGCAGAAAGCCUAUGAUUUCUGGAAUAGCAAGUGAAGUGACUGAGACAAAAGUGCAAAUCAGUUUUUAGAGAAGCCUGGCUUUCCCAUAAAGGGAGCUGCUGGGUGUGAAGCCAUGGAUACUCUCCAGAACCAUUUGCACAUUGCUCCUGCUCAUUCCAGCUGCCACUUUGGUCAGUGAAGAACUAGUGAAGUGAGAAGAAAAUGACACGUAGAGGUUUGGAGAAAAAGACAAAGGAGGAGAAAAAGUAAAAGGAAGACUGACAAAUACAGGGUGAAAAGUCAAUUGAAAAAGACAAGAUCAGGGAAAGAUUGGUUUGGAAAACAGAAAUAGGAAAGUCGGAAGAAAUUGGGAGUAAAUGAAGUAAAGAGAACGAUACAGUGAAAAGGAGAGGGUGCAAUUUUGGAUUGGGAGCUUCAUCUCAAGGAUUCCUGUCACAGGAAAGACGUUGUGGAACCUGGAAUAGAGCAACUUAAUUUUGCUGCCAGGCCUGUAUGACAGCUUAUGAGCUGACUUAAGAUCCAUCAGAACUGGAGACAGGAGCUGUCAGCAACCAGCACCUCAGGCUUGCGAGGCAUUACUCAGUUCUUCCUACGCUGCCGAGCUCUUCAGAUUCCUGGUUUACCCUGAUCCGUGGACUCACUGCCCUGCAUUUGCAGUAUCAGCUUGGUCCCACUCCAGCGCUGAAGCUGUUCCUGUGGGAGGCAGAGCCAACUCUAAUGUAGGUAAU